rnacentral:rRNA from 1 species
GAUGAACGCUGGCGGCGUGCCUAAUACAUGCGAGUCGAGCGAACAGACGAGGAGCUUGCUCCUCUGACGUUAGCGGCGGACGGGUGAGUAACACGUGGAUAACCUACCUAUAAAACUGGGAUAACUUCGGGAAACCGGAGCUAAUACCGGAUAAUAUAUUGAACCGCAUGGUUCAAUAGUGAAAGACGGUUUUGCUGUCACUUAUAGAUGGAUCCGCGCCGCAUUAGCUAGUUGGUAAGGUAACGGCUUACCAAGGCGACGAUGCGUAGCCGACCUGAGAGGGUGAUCGGCCACACUGGAACUGAGACACGGUCCAGACUCCUACGGGAGGCAGCAGUAGGGAAUCUUCCGCAAUGGGCGAAAGCCUGACGGAGCAACGCCGCGUGAGUGAUGAAGGUCUUCGGAUCGUAAAACUCUGUUAUUAGGGAAGAACAAAUGUGUAAGUAACUAUGCACGUCUUGACGGUACCUAAUCAGAAAGCCACGGCUAACUACGUG